ACGUAUCAUCCAGCAGACAAAGACUAUGGUUUAAUGAAAAUAGAUGAACCAAGCACUCCUUACCAUAGUAUGAUGGGGGAUGAUGAAGAUGCCUGUAGUGACACCGAGGCCACUGAAGCCAUGGCGCCAGACAUCUUAGCCAGGAAAAAAAAAGCGACAAUUUGAAAUGAAAAGGAAGCUUCACUACAAUGAAGGACUCAAUAUCAAACUAGCCAGACAAUUAAUUUCAAAAGACCUACAUGAUGAUGAUGAAGAUGAAGAAAUGUUAGAGACUGCAGAUGGAGAAAGCAUGAAUACGGAAGAAUCAAAUCAAGGAUCUACUCCAAGUGACCAACAGCAAAACAAAUUACGAAGUUCAUAGACGAGAUUUGUUCAACACUGCAAUUGUUUGUUAGAUGUAAACCCUGUGACUAUAGUACGUUGCUUCUUGUUCUUCACAAUUCAUGACUUAAGUACCAAAAUGCAUACCAGUUAUUAUAUAUUGCCAAGAAUUAAAUGAUAAACUUAGAGACUGAUUAGACUGAAAAUGCCUAAUCGAUAUAUAUAUUCUUGUGCCUAGUACUUUACCACAAAUACAGUGUAAUAUCAUCAGUCCAAAACUGCAUUACUUUUGUAAAAACACUGGUUAAUUUGUAUAAGAUAUUAUAGAGCUUUUUAUGCUUUAGAAGUUAAACAAUAUCUUUGGGGGGGAACUAAUUUAUUUUCAUCACUUGAAAUGUGGUAGCUCUUACAAAGUUUAUUGAUUUGAUUUUUUUAAAAAUCAAAAGCCAAUUGAACAACAGGAUAUAUAGACUGAUAAAUAUUUAGGCUGAAUAGUAUUUUAACACUUGUCUUCAACUUGAUUUGUCUGUUUAAUUGAAAAGAAUUAUAAG
rnacentral:lncRNA from 10 species